GAUGAACGCUGGCGGCGUGCUUAACACAUGCAAGUCGAACGAAGCACUUUAUUUGAUUUCCUUCGGGACUGAUUAUUUUGUGACUGAGUGGCGGACGGGUGAGUAACGCGUGGGUAACCUGCCUUGUACAGGGGGAUAACAGUUUGAAACGGCUGCUAAUACCGCAUAAGCGCCCGGCAUCGCAUGAUGCAGUGUGAAAAACUCCGGUGGUAUAAGAUGGACCCGCGUUGGAUUAGCUAGUUGGUGAGGUAACGGCCCACCAAGGCGACGAUCCAUAGCCGAGAAGAGAGGGAGACCGGAGACAUUGGGACUGAGCCACGGCCGAAAAUCCUACGGGAGGCAGCAGAGGGGAAUAGUGCAAAAUGGGCGAAAGCAUGAUGCAGCGAGGACGGGUGAGCGAAGAAGUAUGGCGGUAUGUAAAGCUCUAUCAGCAGGGAAGAUAAUGACGGUACCUGACGAAGAAGCACCGGCUAAAUACGUG
rnacentral:rRNA from 1 species